UGGUGGAGUGAUUUGUCUGGUUAAUUCCGAUAACGAACGAGACUCCGUCCUGCUAAAUAGUUGUGACGUCACACUUGCGUCACAAAUUCUUCUUAGAGGGACUGGCUGCAUCUAGCAGCACGAGAUGGAGCAAUAACAG
rnacentral:rRNA from 1 species